UACGAAGGGGGCUAGCGUUGCUCGGAAUCACUGGGCGUAAAGCGCACGUAGGCGGCUUUCUAAGUCAGGGGUGAAAUCCUGGAGCUCAACUCCAGAACUGCCUUUGAUACUGGAGAGCUAGAGUCCGGAAGAGGUGAGUGGAACUGCGAGUGUAGAGGUGAAAUUCGUAGAUAUUCGCAAGAACACCAGUGGCGAAGGCGGCUCACUGGUCCGGUACUGACGCUGAGGUGCGAAAGCG
rnacentral:rRNA from 1 species